GAUGAACGCUAGCUACAGGCUUAACACAUGCAAGUCGAGGGGAAACGACAUCGUAAGCUUGCUUUUGAUGGGCGUCGACCGGCGCACGGGUGAGUAACGCGUAUCCAACCUGCCCAUCACUUGGGAAUAACCUUGCGAAAGUAAGACUAAUACCCAAUGAUAUCCCACGAAGGCAUCGGAAUGGGAGUAAAGAUUUAUCGGUGAUGGAUGGGGAUGCGUCUGAUUAGCUUGUUGGCGGGGUAACGGCCCACCAAGGCAACGAUCAGUAGGGGUUCUGAGAGGAAGGUCCCCCACAUUGGAACUGAGACACGGUCCAAACUCCUACGGGAGGCAGCAGUGAGGAAUAUUGGUCAAGGGGCGAGAGCCUGAACCAGCCAAGUAGCGUGCAGGAAGCCGGCCCUAUGGGUUGUAAACUGCUUUUAUAAGGGAAUAAAGUGGGUCACGCGUGACUUUUUGCAUGUACCUUAUGAAUAAGGACCGGCUAAUUCCGUG
rnacentral:rRNA from 1 species